UACGGAGGGGGCUAGCGUUGUUCGGAAUUACUGGGCGUAAAGCGCGCGUAGGCGGACCUGCAAGUCGGGGGUGAAAGCCCGAGGCUCAACCUCGGAACUGCCUUCGAUACUGCCGUGCUUGAGGACUGGAGAGGAGACUGGAAUUUACGGUGUAGCGGUGAAAUGCGUAGAUAUCGUAAGGAAGACCAGUGGCGAAGGCGGGUCUCUGGACAGUUCCUGACGCUGAGGCACGAAGGUCAGGGGAGCAAACGGG
rnacentral:rRNA from 1 species